UUACGGCCAUAUCACGUUGAGACACCGGUUUUCCUUGCGAUCAUCAAAGUUAAGCAACGUCGAGUCUGGUCAAUACCUAGAUGGGUGACCGCUUGGGAAUACCAGGUGUUGUAAG